AGAAAACCAACUUGUAGUCCAUCCUUGUUUUGAAUUCUGGGCUCCUUGGAUUGGCCCCCACACCAGAAAGUCUAGCAUUGUGUUAAACACUGAAUGUGAAAAGUUGCACCACCCAAAACCUGCUGAAUAUGCUGAUGUUGCUGUAAUAGAGGACAGACUUUUAAAUGAAGUCAUGAAGUUGAAGGUUGAUGCUGUGAAGCAGCUGUGUAAGGAGAGUGGUUUGGACAGUACAGGCUCCAAAACAGACCUAAUUCUCCAACUGCAUGAGGAAAUUAGGAACAGACGCAUGUAUGAUAAAAUAUUUGAAAAAAUAUGGGGAGCUUCAGGUGGUUGGGCAGUAAUAAUGUGCCCAUGUGCCCAUGUGGUAUCAUCUACAGUGUGAAGUUUUGUCUGCGAACAGAAAGCCCAAGAGACUAUAUGGAACUGCUUUUAUCUUGGAAAUACAUGCCCAAUAUCAUAGUUUAUGAUUUUGCUAGAGGUUUAGCAACACAUGGUAAUCUCCGAGAA